GGGUUGUUUGGGAAUGCAGCUCAAAGUGGGUGGUAAACUCCAUCUAAAGCUAAAUACUGGUGAGAGACCGAUAGCGAACAAGUACUGUGAAGGAAAGGUGAAAAGAACUUUGAAAAGAGAGUGAAAUAGUAUGUGAAAUUGUUGAUAGGGAAGGAAAUGAGUGGAGAGUGGCCGAGGUUUCAGCCGCCCCUCGUGGGCGGUGUACUGCCGACGCCGAGUCAUCGAUAGCGAGACGAGGGUUACAAAUGGGAGCGCCUUCGGGCGUUCUCCCCUAACCCUCCACACUGCCACCGACGACAUAAUCCAC
rnacentral:rRNA from 1 species